UACGUAGGGACCAAGCGUUGUUCGGAUUUACUGGGCGUAAAGGGCGCGUAGGCGGCGCUGUAAGUCACUUGUGAAAUCUCCGGGCUUAACUCGGAACGGUCAAGUGAUACUGCAGUGCUAGAGUGCAGAAAGGGCAAUCGGAAUUCUUGGUGUAGCGGUGAAAUGCGUAGAUAUCAAGAGGAACACCUGAGGCGAAGGCGGGUUGCUAGGCUGACACUGACGCUGACAGCGCGAAAGCCAAGGGAGCAAACGGG
rnacentral:rRNA from 1 species